rnacentral:rRNA from 1 species
CCUUCGGGCCUUGCGCUAUCAGAUGAGCCUAGGUCGGAUUAGCUAGUUGGUGAGGUAAUGGCUCACCAAGGCGACGAUCCGUAACUGGUCUGAGAGGAUGAUCAGUCACACUGGAACUGAGACACGGUCCAGACUCCUACGGGAGGCAGCAGUGGGGAAUAUUGGACAAUGGGCGAAAGCCUGAUCCAGCCAUGCCGCGUGUGUGAAGAAGGUCUUCGGAUUGUAAAGCACUUUAAGUUGGGAGGAAGGGCAGUAAGAUAAUACCUUGCUGUUUUGACGUUACCGACAGAAUAAGCACCGGCUAACUCUGUGCCAGCAGCCGCGGUAAUACAGAGGGUGCAAGCGUUAAUCGGAAUUACUGGGCGUAAAGCGCGCGUAGGUGGUUUGUUAAGUUGGAUGUGAAAGCCCCGGGCUCAACCUGGGAACUGCAUCCAAAACUGGCAAGCUAGAGUACGGUAGAGGGUGGUGGAAUUUCCUGUGUAGCGGUGAAAUGCGUAGAUAUAGGAAGGAACACCAGUGGCGAAGGCGACCACCUGGACUGAUACUGACACUGAGGUGCGAAAGCGUGGGGAGCAAACAGGAUUAGAUACCCUGGUAGUCCACGCCGUAAACGAUGUCAACUAGCCGUUGGAAUCCUUGAGAUUUUAGUGGCGCAGCUAACGCAUUAAGUUGACCGCCUGGGGAGUACGGCCGCAAGGUUAAAACUCAAAUGAAUUGACGGGGGCCCGCACAAGCGGUGGAGCAUGUGGUUAAUUCGAAGCACGCGAAGACCUUAC